CCUUCCAUUUUAAUUUAAUUUCCGUUGGCUUCCUUUGCAACUUUUCCGUUUCUCAUUAGACAAAUAGGGGGUUGCGCACACCAGAUAAAAGGAAACGGCUCCCCAUUGUUUCUCUGGAAUUCCCGAUUCGAAAACGGAUCUUAGGCCACCGUGAUUUGAAACCCAGUCUCAGGCGACGAGCAGCGUCGAGACGAGCGACCAAGGAAAAAUAGCGACUGCGGCAACCUUAUCUGAUGAGGCUCUGCGACCACGACAACAAGCUCUAAUGUCAACCACUCCCUGGCACUCUUACUCGAUGCUUUAACUGUGAAUUAGUAAAAUCUGGAAAACACGACUUUCUCUGGAAUUUCUUAUUCGAAAACGGUUGUCUGAUAUGGGCAAUGUUCUGACUUCCUUAUUUCGCAGACAAGUCCUACUCAUCAUCAUCUGGAUUAAUGGGCUGAUCCUGAUAUUGGGCGUCCAAGGUCGUUUGUUUACAAAGUUUAUCGAUAAUCGUUUGAAAAGGUCUCCAACAUGGCAGAUAUUGACCCUGGAAAAUCAGAUAUUCCACACACAUGUAUCAAUCCUUCUAUUAUUAAAGACUUUCGAGGCUCAUGCAUCUUCUUUGAUUGCCUGCUUAGGCGUGGUGGACCAGUGCUUCCAUUGGAGGAUUCUAUUUUAAACAUUUCGAGCUUGAAGGGUGACUCUUCAUGAAUAUGCAGUUCUUAUUUCGAUUGGGUGUUGUAUUUGUGAGUUUGAAUGUAUGAUUCUUGCUAUGGUUUUUGUGUUGAUAUGGUGCAUUUAAUUAGAGCUUUGUAAAUUUUACGCUUUUGUUUCUCUGAGAUUACACUAUAGUUUUAUUCCCUUUGCUGGAUGUCGGGUUAAUGAUUUUCAAUAAGGAGGUCAUUACUAUUGUGAUUGUGCGCUGCUGUGUAAGACUAGGUCCAAUGAGAAGCUUCUUGAACUCUUCAUGUGGAUGUUGGUUACAGAGAUAACGAAGAAAUCCUAAGCAUCGAACGCUGCAAACACGAAAAGGGUUUUUAUGAAAUCAUGUGCGGCUGCUUCCAUCAUUGCUGUUUGUGUUGAGUUCUUCCAGGUUGUGAAUAAGACGUUGUACAAAACAAUAACUAUAACAUGAAGGCUAAAGAGAUUAAUUGAAUGGUUGAUGAUGAUCAUUUUCCGGAUGUGAUGCUAGAAAGAAGUGGUUUUACUGCGGUUUGCAUAUAUUUCUUUCUGUCUAUGUUGCAACUCCAAAAAUUAAGAUUUAAUACAUAUGGAAAUCAGUUUCAAUACUCUGAAAAAAUACUAUCUGUCUUCCCUGAGGUUUGGGUAAGAGACCCAGAUGAUAUAAAAAGAACUCUAUAGGUUUGUGGAAUUUGUGAUUCAUUGCCCUUUGCUGUCUUGCAUCUUACAUGUUGACUGUCUCUGUAGUCUGAAUCAAUAUUUGAGAACAUCCUCAAACAUUGAUGAAAAUUCUCAUCUUAAUUUUCUGAUGCAUUUUUCUUUGAUUAGCUUUGGUUGCUUUAUUAACCUGCAGAAAUUUUAGACUAUUGUCUUAGCAUAGUGAUAAAAAUUCAACCAUUUCAGUUUGGGCAAAUACUCUAAGUUGUUGAUUGUUGAUUUGUUUAUCCCUUUUGCUUUAUUUUUACCCUCAGAUCCAUUUUGACAGAUUUUGUUUCAUGUGGAAUGACUCAAGCAGAACUGAUCCAAGUUCUUUGUGUUAGACUGUACUUUGAUUGCAGAUUGUCAGCUCCUUUCAACAGUUGCAGUCGGAGUAAAGAAGGCAAGGAGCAGAAAAAGUAAGUGCUAACAAGUAACAAAGCCACUGCAGCUCUAGCUUUUAAGGACAUAAGGUUGGGCAUUAGAAAAACUCACGUUGCAGUAGCAUUUUUUAUUAAGAGGUGCUGAAUUUUUUACACUUAAAGCAUGAUUUAUUUCCUCAUGGGUGAUCAUUCUUGAUGCUUGGAUUUGGAUUAGUUAUAUAAAAGCAAUGUUAAUGUUUAGAUUAGUGGUUUAAUUAGAUUAUGAAUCAAAGGAUAUUGAUAGGUUAUACUAUUGAAGUUGUUAUGAUUUAGAUACUCAUGAAACCUGUCAUUGUAGUGUUCAAAUAUGGCGGGGUUUGGUUGUGCUUCAAAUAAUCUGUUAUAAAAAGAUUGUGGAGUCUUCUAUUUGUUGGUACAAUUAGCAGGCAUGAGUUUUGGUGUAUGUUAUUUUUACCCUGUUGGUGUCAUUAGGUUGUGUUGUUGGUGGUUUUGGGUCUUAAUUUAGAGAUAGGCUCCAUAUCAAUUGAAUGUGUUUCAUUAACAUUAGUUAAAAUGUUUUGGAAGGCUUCUAAUUGUUCGUCUGCCAGGAGGUCCAAAAGAAGAAUACAAGUGCAUCUGGUGUUGCAAUGGUGAUUACCUAAUCAUGAGGGUGGAAAGCUGAGGCUGAAAAACGCACAUGUUAUUACAUGACCCUAGAGAUUGUGGAUCUAGGUUUGUGCACUCAUUUAGGUCUUACAUCAGCUUAAUAGACUGGUGUAAAUUUAAAUUAAUCUAAAACUCAUGAGAGAGUUUAAUAAUGAACUUGGUACAUAAUUUGAAGAUUACGAACUGCGCAAACCAUAAGCUAUGUUAAUGUAUCCCAAUUGGUAGAAUGUGAUCUAUCCCGGAAAAGAAAGAUGACAUAACUGAGGCUCCUCAACAUGAAUAUUAAGAUCAAACCCCUUCUUUGACCUUAGCUCGGGAAAUACGGUACAUGUUAGGUGGGCUUUUCAUGUGAUCUUCUUGAAGUAAACGCUCCUCUUUGCAAGCAUGAGGGUUAAAAUGAGAGAAACCGUUGCAGCAGUAUGCUUAAGUGUGUGACUACUGACCAUAUGAAAAGUGCAUGUACUAUUAGACUAUUAGUAGACUCAUGCAAGUGGAUAAUAAAUUCAUUAAAUUGUUUUGAAUAGUUAUUUACCAGUUACACAAUUUCAAUUCAAGAGGUGAGUAAAAUAAAAUACACUGAGGCUUUGAGCCAAUUCAUGUCAUAAUUUGAAUGAUUGAUAUUACUUAUUAUGAAUUAAGAA